rnacentral:lncRNA from 1 species
UGUACAGUUCAGAGAUAAAGAAAUAGAAUCUGAUCUUGAAAUAUUUUCCCAUAUCCUACUGCAUUUCUUUUGAUAAUUAGAUGCAAAAUUCCACCAUUAAAAAGAGGUAGUAGUUUACGUUCACAUCUCAUGGAAUUAAAUGACUCAUCAAAGUGUAAUGCAGGAAUGAGGCUGCAAAACCACAACGGUGAUUGGGAUCCACCAUUACAGUAAUAGGUGCUUCAGAUGGUAUGAGCCAGCAGGGCAGGUUGUCCUUUUGGUUAGUAUCUUCUAGUAUGGAGGGAAAUUUAGCAUGAAAUACUAGGACAAUGGUUGAAUCUCUUGGGAAAACCAUAUAAUUUCAUUUAAAGUCAUUAUGCAUUCAUCAAACCCUUUUUUUUUUUUUUUAAUGGAGCACAUGUAAAUCCAAGUUAAUUUAUUUCUCUUUCUAUUCAGUAACUUCCCCUCUCCCCCAUCUUUCUUUUAUCUCCUCCAACCCCAAGCCUAAGAAGAAUGGAAAUUCUUGCUGUGAUCAGUCCAUUAUAAGAAGAUUGCAUAUAGAUUAAGAAACAGAGGAUUUGUGGAGGACUCAAAUUUGCAGAAGGUUGAAGACUCAUUUAAGGACACUUGGAAGCCUUUUAUGGAUUAUAUAUACAAAACAGAUGUUGCAUCUUAGAAAAACUGGGUCUGCAGAGCCCAAGAUGGAAGAUCCCUUUAUGUUCUCACUUUAAGCCCAGAGCCUUCAUGGGAAGAAGUCUGUAUUUUAUUGUAACUACUACUUCUUCAAAGGCCUUGCUAAUUCUCCAUUUUCCUUAAGGCAACUUAUAUAUUCUAGGGAGUUGACAGAGAUCCUCAGACCCUUCAGAAGCCAAGGACUGUGUCUUAGGGUUUUAGAAUUAAAACAAAGUUAAUUUAUUGCUUAGAUGCACUGAAUUAAAGGGAAGUGGUUCUUCAAAUUUUUGUUUUCUGUAUUUAUACUUGCAUUUCCUGCCACUAGGACUACUCCACAAGUUUCUUCUUCAUCUCUGCUUUUUAACCUAGCUACGACCAUUAUUUGGCAACUUACCUGUUUUGGAAUACUGCCAUUUAUUUCUUAUAUUUGCUGAUCUCUGUUUAAGUAUGUUGAACAUUUAAUUUGGAGGAUCAAAUUUUUAUCUAUGGCUUUUACCACCUGAUUGCUUGUUGUUGGAUCACAGUGGAUAGCUGUAGGUAAUUAAUUCCUUUAUUUC